GUAACAUUCAUUUUAAUACAACGAAUAAACUGUACAUAUGAGUAAAAAUAUACAGUAGAAAUAUAAAAUUGUCAUAUAUACAGCACCAAAUAUUAGAGGGCACACAAACUUCUCGUCACUCGCCAGCCACAACCGGCGUGCGCAGACAGCGAGGCGGUCGGCUGGCUGAGGGGAGUACGUCCCCCGCAGCAGAGAGGUAGACCUUCCCUUUAGUUUUUCAAAAGGCAGAAGGGAAAUCACUUCACAUCUCUAAACACACAAAUUCUGGUCACCAGGCAUUAAUAUUAUAGUGCCAACUCACCGUCACGAUGUAGCUUGAAAGUCAGCAAGUACGAGUACGCAAGCACAACGCUCUUCACUGCACUGAGCUAAGAAAGAACGUACUCAACAUGUUUUUUAGUCGGUACAUAGACACUUGCUACACAACAAUUACCUCGGAAUCGUGAUUACUGCUGCCAGCAAUGCAUUAUGGGCCCUAAGAAUGUAAGAAUAACGCUGCUCUGCUCAGGAGGACUUAUGCCAUCCACCUCCCCACUCCCACCUGAAAGUGAAAGCAAUGACCCCCCCCCAACGCUCUGCUUUUGUCAUCAACCAUUACUGCCCCCUCGUUCCCUCCGUCCUUUUUCCUUGUUUAACAGAAUUUGGCUGACAGUGUACAACAGGACAUCUAAAUGCACACUGAGCGGCGAAGACGUGUCUGAGAGGGCCAAUCAAACGCAUGUCGGAAGCAGCCGGCCUCCAGCGCGGUCUUUGGCAUCGUGUGUCAACUGCUACCUCCGGACGACAGACACGUUUUGCUCGACGGCAAGCGCCACAAAUCCGGCAGCGUGAAUCAAUGAAGCGGGUAAAGGCAAAUGGGCUUAGACUCCAUUUGUUUUCUAUACAUUCUGUUAUUUUGCCUUCCUCUAUCUGUAUUUUCUGUCCUGUGUUACAUUCAGUGACGAGAAUAUUUAAGACGAGACUAAAAUGGUCUCAUCCCGUGAGACCACGCAAACCGAAAGCACCUAUUUACAGCUUACUCUCUGUGGCGAAACGGAAACCCCAGAAACAUUUUGACCACAAGCGGUGAUUUUACCAUAUUUUCAAUACUUUCCACCAUUGAGAGCAAAAUGAUCCCAUUUUCUUUGGCGAGGAGUAAUAAAGACAAAUGUUUGUGGGACUUGAGCAUUACAUUUAAGUGUGUGUGGCUGGACUAUAUAACAAUGGUGAAAUGAGGGGAAUCAAGUCAUAAACGGUGGAUUUAGGACAGAGGACGGCAUGUGUGAUGAAUGAGGAGAGUCCUGUCGGGGUGAAGAGAGAGAGAGAGAGAGAGAGAGAGAGAGAGAGAGAGAACAAGGGGGGGAAAUUCUCAGAGGUUCAGAUGGAAACGGUGGAAUGCAACAGAGCCUUUUUCCAUGAGUGCUUGCUCAAGGCACCAAGAGGGAGGGGCCCGAGGGGAGCGGGAUCAGUUAAAGUGUCCCUACAGUGGCAUGUCCCCUCGGGUAGUGUCCUUCAGUAAUCCUGGACUGUCCUGCGUGGGGUCGAGGAGCCCCACGAAGACACUGGGGGCCCGGGGGGAAAUGUGUCAGUCAGUGGCCCCCUUUGCAGCGGGAAGCUACGAAAGGCCUUUCGGAGCGCGCCGCUCCACUAGGAGUUCCUCUCGCUUGGCGUGGACACGGCUACAUGUGGAAAUCGUUUGUGUGUCCAGUAGUGUCCAAGUGCAAGGGUCCAACGGACUUUCAGUUCACCCAAAUCUUUAUUCAAGCACACGCAAACACCUUUCCCUCCGCCGGGCGAUCGGAUCCUCCGGCCUCUCUCCGGCUCAUCGUUCACACAGAUGCCACCAGGAUCCUGCAGGACUCAAGUUCCACUCUCCCGUUGCGUAAAAAAAGCUCCCAACACAUUGCUGCGGUGUCACAGGACGAGUGAAUGACGCUGGCCGCUGACGCGGGGCGCGCUGCUCUUUCGGCCCAGGUAUUGGGUUACCGUCUUUGGCCCACUUCUGGCCUCUUGGAGAGUCACCUGUCCUGGCAGGAGGAAUGCUGUGACUGACGUGCCUAGUGACGCCAGCAUUGAAUCCGGCAGCAGCUCUGCAUAGCGGGUUGGGUGUCCUGCUCAGAGCUCCCACUUUGACCGCUGGUUGCAUAUGUGAGCGCGGACCGCGAGGGCCGUGCAUCCGUGAGCGUAAAUAUGCAUGCGGUGUGCGAUGCAUAUUUGUGUGUGUGUGUGUCUCCUCGGAGGUUGUUUUGACACCGGACACCGGCUGUCUGACGAUAAAAGAGCGUGUGAGGCAUUGGCGAUCGCUCCUCGUCGAUCCAAAAUUUUACAGGCGAAACAGAUACUUCCUGCCUAUCUGUCCUUCCACUCUCUAUGAUUUCUCCACUUUGGUUCCUUCCGGUAUUAGCGGAGCCAAAUGGUGCUAAAGAAUAGAGGGGAUUUAUGCGCUGAGAGAAGGGAAAAGUUGCGGCUGCUUUAGCCAACCCCUUGAUCUCCCGGCAGUGGCCAUGUCUCUACUUUCGAGUUCCCGCCGCUGAUUUCCCCACGUGCUUCACAGGGGAGACUGCUCGGAAGUGAACGAGCCCCCCUCUUUCUUUUUCCUCCUCUUCCUCUUGUGGACAAUCCAACAGGCAGUGGCCAUCAGCAUCAGCAAAAGGCCCAUGACCAGCAGAACCACUGACACCACUUUAGUCUGAGGCAGGUCGUUGUAGGUGUAGGUCACCCCGGUCCCCGCCACACCGAUCACCAGGGAGAUGAUUCCGAAGGGAAAGAUGCAGCGGUACCAGGACUUCUCCAUGCCACCGGUGGCCUGGGACAGUCGCUCCAGAGAGGAGAGCACCUCAGGCACUUUGGCCCCGCCCGCCUCCAACGAGUGACCCUCCGGCCCCGCGUUGGCCUGCGGCUGGCAAGCCAGGUGGCCCGUUGCGCAGCCCAUCGCGAUGUGGCGAGCUGGUGGGUUCCCCCCGAGUCGGGCUGCAGGGGCGGGCCUCUUGGAGGACGCUUCGCAGUCAGGCUCUGGUCCGGAGGGAGGCAGAGAAGAAAUGGAGAAAGGCAGGAAAAGAGAGAAAGGAGAAGGAGCUUCCCGGGACGGCGGAGGAAUGACAGAAAACGAAGGCUUCUCAGUCAGCGCUGAUAUCCACUCAUCCUUCUCUCCCUCCGCCUCUUGCCGUUUUUCUGCCGGCUAUGUAGCAGCACAUUGUACACUCCGCUGAAUGUGGCGGCGGGGGAUAUAUAAGGGACCACGGGAAGGGGGAGGAGCAAGGGCAGAAAAAACAGGGACGUCCAAGUGCUCUGAUUGGUCUUCUUUUGUGUGACGUCAAAC
ensembl:lncRNA